rnacentral:rRNA from 1 species
UAGGGAAUCUUCCACAAUGGACGCAAGUCUGAUGGAGCAACGCCGCGUGAGUGAAGAAGGUUUUCGGACCGUAAAGCUCUGUUGUUGGUGAAGAAGGAUAGAGGUAGUAACUGGCCUUUAUUUGACGGUAAUCAACCAGAAAGUCACGGCUAACUACGUGCCAGCAGCCGCGGUAAUACGUAGGUGGCAAGCGUUGUCCGGAUUUAUUGGGCGUAAAGCGAGCGCAGGCGGAAGAAUAAGUCU